GUCAGCCAUCCCCCAAGCGUUCAUCUACAUUCUCCGCCGAGAAAGCGACUGAUACUAGUAACACAAGGGGAGUCCGACUCGCCGGACCUGUUCAGGUGUCCCGUGUCCUGUAUCCAUUGGAUAUGCUGAAAUGGUUCCUGGUGCUCGGCGUCCUGGUUGCCGUUGGUUACCAGAUUUGCGUCAGUGUCGUGCAUCCGGUGCCCACGGAGCUAGAGGAGAGGGAUAAGGUCGCUGUAUUGGAUGCCAUUGGCCAUAUUGGAAACAAUGUGCUGUUGACGGCGGCGAGGUUUGGGGUGGACCUGGCGGCCUACAGACCAGUCAAACUAUUGGUGGACAGUGUCUACUCUCUGAUCCUGAACGGAGUGUCCCCGGAACCGUACACAGAUGUGGAGAUCCGGGACACUACAAUAGCCGAGGUUCCCGUCCGAGUGUUUAUUCCCAGGAAGCAAAAGAAACCAAUGUUUCCCGCCAUGAUCUACCUACACGGCGGGGGGUGGCCCUGGCUCUCUGUGGAUGUUUAUAGCAGAUUCCUCAGGUCAUCUGUGCAAUGCUACCAACCUGAUGAUCAUUGCAGUACGAUAUCGUCAACCCCCUAGUCAUAUCUAUCCAGUCAGUCUAAACGAUUGUCGAAAUGUGACCUGGUCAACAUUGGCGGGAAAAAGUGGACUUCCCAUUCACCCGCGUUACGUCAUAAUCGGUGGAGAUGAAGCCGGUGGCAACAUGGCAGCUGCCCUUGCCUUGGAAUUCCGCUCGAAAAUUUACAUGCAAAUUCUUUUGAACCCCAAACUACAAAUGUUUGAUUUUCUGACCCCUUCAUACCAAGAUCACAAAAACAUUCUCACCGGAGUGACGUCAUCAGCCAGAUCGGCAGUUGAUUGGCUGAGAUACACCGGAAGUUCAGUCAGCUGGUACCCAGCUCUUUUAAACAAUGCUCACCGAUUUCCAUCCAGUGAGAUCUUACAACAUCAAUCCUACCUUGACACUGACACAUUCCUUCCGUCUUAUCUGGAGCUGACAAAGUCAAAGACUGUUACCACUAAAGACUAUGAAAGUACCAUUGGCAAGGAACUCAAAGACCUCAUAACUUCAGAAUCUCUGUGUCCGGCAUUAGCCAGUAACACCAAAGGUGUUCCUAAUGCCUAUAUAGUGACAUCACAGUUUGAUGUACACAGGGAUGAAGCUGUUAUGUACAUUACAAGACUACAUAAGGACAGUGGCUCCAAAGUGAAACUCAAACACUACAAACAGGCUUUCCAGGGAUUCUUCCCCUUUGCAGGAAAUAAAAGCUGGUUCCGAUUUAAUGUCAGUGACCAAGCUUUACAAGAGCUGGUGGAGUUUAUCAGCUUUCAGGUUCACAGAGUGAUGAAAAACCCUGCAUCCUGAUGAUUAAAAUUAAAUAAAACACUAAACAAACCAUCAAUCUUUUUUGUACCAUAUUUAUCAUAUCAAUUUUUUUCAUCAUUAAAUGCAUUUAUUUUGCAUCUACAGAUUUUAGAGAGAUUUAUCAAAUGUAAUGAUGUAUGAAAUUCAAAUCUAUCUGUUUAUAUUCAUUGACGAACAACACAUUUUCACAUGAAUAAAAAAAUCUAAGCAC
rnacentral:misc_RNA from 1 species